rnacentral:rRNA from 1 species
GACGAACGCUGGCGGCGUGCUUAACACAUGCAAGUCGAACGGAAAGGCCCUGCUUUUGUGGGGUGCUCGAGUGGCGAACGGGUGAGUAACACGUGAGUAACCUGCCCUUGACUUUGGGAUAACUUCAGGAAACUGGGGCUAAUACCGGAUAGGAGCUCCUGCUGCAUGGUGGGGGUUGGAAAGUUUCGGCGGUUGGGGAUGGACUCGCGGCUUAUCAGCUUGUUGGUGGGGUAGUGGCUUACCAAGGCUUUGACGGGUAGCCGGCCUGAGAGGGUGACCGGCCACAUUGGGACUGAGGUACGGCCCAGACUCCUACGGGAGGCAACAGUGGGGAAUAUUGCACAAUGGGCGGAAGCCUGAUGCAGCAACGCCGCGUGCGGGAUGACGGCCUUCGGGUUGUAAACCGCUUUCGCCUGUGACGAAGCGUGAGUGACGGUAAUGGGUAAAGAAGCACCGGCUAACUACGU